rnacentral:tRNA from 1 species
CGUGUUGUAGUGUAUAUGCACCCUUGAUUUUCAUUCAAUUAGAGUAAAUUUCUUUACCAACCCGC